UCUUAGUCAAGUGGGGACUAAGAAGCAUUAAAUGGCUUCACCGUUCCUGGAAAGUCUAAAGGAAGCACCCUUGCUGCUGCCUAAGGAAGUCCUCUUGGCUAGUGGAGAGUGAAGUUAUAUUUAAUUCUUGGCACAGGUGACAAAAGCCAUGUGGAUUUAAUCCCUGCUUCUCUACACAUUGGGAAUCGCCAAGAAUCUCUUUGUCAGGUUACACAUUCCAAGGAUACAUCAAUAUAAGCCAGGUUAAGGACAGUUGAAUGAAAUUUGAAUUUAACUGUAGUAGUCCCGUGCAUUAAGAUUCCCUCUGUUUGAGGAUCAUGCAACCAAACUUCUUAGCAGAAAAUUUUCCCUCUGACAAAAUAUGGUAUCAUAUUAACAAGUCAAAAAAUUAAAUUCAAG
rnacentral:lncRNA from 1 species